GAGGUUGCCAGUGACUAUAUCAGCACUCAUCCACAGAUGUCUUGAUACUUUUCCUGCAAGAGAAACACCUUGAGAUAACUCUACAAAACCAGGAUCAAAUUAUCACAAAAAAACUUCACAGAGUGAAGAAUGAAGGAAAAGAAAAAUGAUCACAAAUGGGUUUUUGUUUUAAUCAGGAAAUACGGUUAUACACAUCUACAAGCAAGGACUGGAUGUUCUAUGUCAUGGAUCUCCCAAAACCCCUGGCACCAUUGGUUGACGGUCCAAAGUAUUUGACUUGCUAAAGAAUCUUUCCCUCCUAGAAGCUUUGGUAUCAGGAUGAUGCUGGCCUCAUAAAAUGAGUUAGGGAGGAUUCCCUCUUUUUCUAUUGAUUGGAAUAGUUUCAGAAGGAAUGGUACCAGUUCCUCCUUGUACCUCCCGUAGAAUUCGGCUAUGAAUCCAUCUGGUCCUGGACUUUUUUUGGUUGGUAAGCUAUUAAUUAUUGCCUCAAUUUCAGAGCCUGUUAUUGGUCUAUUCAGACCUUCAACUUCUUCCUGGUUUAGUCUUGGGAGGGUGGAUGUGUCAAGGAAUUUAUCCAUUUCUUCUAGAUUUUCUAGUUUAUUUGCAUAGAGGUGUUUAUACUAUUCUCUGAUGGUAGUUUGUAUUUCUGUGGGAUCGGUGGUGAUAUCCCCUUUAUCAUUUUUUAUUGCUUCUAUUUGAUUCUUCUCUCUUUUCUUCUUUAUUAGUCUUGCUAGUGGUCUAUCAAUUUUGUUGAUCUUUUCAAAAAAGACACAUGCACACGUAUGUUUAUUGCGGCACUAUUCACAAUAGCAAAGACUUGGAACCAACCCAACUGUCCAACAAUGAUAGACUGGAUUAAGAAAAUGUGGCACAUAUACACCAUGGAAUACUAUGCAGCCAUAAAAAAUGAUGAGUUCAUGCCCUUUGUAGGGACAUGGAUGAAGCUGGAAACCAUCAUUCUCAGCAAACUAUCGCAAGGACAAAAAAACCAAAUACCGCAUGUUCUCAUUCAUAGGUGGGAAUUGAACAAUGAGAACACAUGGACACAGGAAGGGGAACAUCACACACCGGGGCCUGUUGUGGGGUGGGGGGAGGGGGGAGGGAUAGCAUUAGGAGAUAUACCUAAUGUUAAAUGACAAGUUAAUGGGUGCAGCACACCAACAUGGCACAUGUAUACAUAUGUAACUAACCUGCAUGUUGUGCACAUGUGCCCUAAAACUUAAAGUAUAAUUAAAAAAAAAAAAAAGAAGAAA